AGAUAAAAUAUAUUGCACAUUAAGUAGGUGAAUAGGCCAUAGACAUCAGAAGAGAAAAGAAAAGAAAGAACCUUAGUCAUUUUAUAAAGCCUUCACAUGGUUGGGACCAACCAUAUACUCCUGCUUUGGAUGGUGGCUGAGGCACAAAGCUGAGAACCAAAGGCACAAAGUACCCCACAUUCUAAACACAAAAAGAGGAACUGGACUUCAUUCUCCUGCAAAAGCUGCUUGAUCUUGACCUGUUGCUGUUUGACCCGGGUCUCAAGCAGGCGCACCUGGGCUCUGAGCCGCAUCUGCUCCUGGGCACAGUCCUCGAGCGCCUGCAAAACAGUUCCCAUUUCAGAAUAUUAUUCCAAAGAGAAAGUGGCUUGAAAAGUUCUAAUACUGCCUACUAUUUGAAGAAUUGGAAAUUAUGGCUUAUGCGAAAACUCCUGGACUCAAAAGAUCAAAUAAUAUAAAAUAAUUGGAAUCGCUAUGCUAGGAGCUUUAUAGUUGUCUCCUUUGAUCCUCAUAACAAUUCCAUGCGGUAGGAAAGGGCUCAGUCUUGAUGCCCAGUGGGUAAGCGGAGGUGGGAUUCAAAUUCAGUUCAAGGACUGUGCUCUCAAUCUCUAUAUGACAUUGCUUAUGUGUUUUCUAAACAGUAAUGUGGUUUAUAGAAGUUAAUUGUACUGUUGGCAUGUAAAUCUCCAUAAUAAAUGAGGUUUUUGAAUGGCU
rnacentral:lncRNA from 1 species